CACAGAGGUGAUUCUGCCUGAGAUUGUCAUCCAGUGGCUGCAAAAUACCAAGCAGAGAUGAUGUUCAUAAAUACCGUGAAGAAAAAUGAGGGACUUUCGGAAGCCCAGGAAGAAGAAGACACAGAAAAG